GACGCUGUAGCUCAGUUGGAUAGAGCACUAGUUUCCUAAACUGGGGGUCGCAAGUUCAAUCCUUGCCAGCGUCACCA
rnacentral:tRNA from 1 species